rnacentral:rRNA from 1 species
AACGAACGCUGGCGGCAUGCCUAACACAUGCAAGUCGAACGAACCCUUCGGGGUUAGUGGCGCACGGGUGCGUAACGCGUGGGAAUCUGCCCUUUGCUUCGGAAUAACUCAGGGAAACUUGUGCUAAUACCGGAUGAUGUCUUCGGACCAAAGAUUUAUCGGCAAGGGAUGAGCCCGCGUAGGAUUAGGUAGUUGGUGGGGUAAAGGCCUACCAAGCCGACGAUCCUUAGCUGGUCUGAGAGGAUGAUCAGCCACACUGGGACUGAGACACGGCCCAGACUCCUACGGGAAGCAGCAGUGGGGAAUAUUGGACAAUGGGCGCAAGCCUGAUCCAGCAAUGCCGCGUGAGUGAUGAAGGCCCUCGGGUCGUAAAGCUCUUUUACCAGGGAUGAUAAUGACAGUACCUGGAGAAUAAGCGCCGGCUAACUCCGUG